AUUGAACGCUGGCGGAAUGCUUUACACAUGCAAGUCGAACGGCAGCACGGGGGCAGCCCUGGUGGCGAGUGGCGAACGGGUGAGUAAUACAUCGGAACGUGCCCGGUCGUGGGGGAUAACGUAGCGAAAGUUACGCUAAUACCGCAUACGAUCUGAGGAUGAAAGCGGGGGACCUUCGGGCCUCGCGCGAUCGGAGCGGCCGAUGUCAGAUUAGGUAGUUGGUGGGGUAAAGGCCUACCAAGCCGACGAUCUGUAGCUGGUCUGAGAGGACGACCAGCCACACUGGGACUGAGACACGGCCCAGACUCCUACGGGAGGCAGCAGUGGGGAAUUUUGGACAAUGGGCGAAAGCCUGAUCCAGCCAUUCCGCGUGAAGGACGAAGGCCUUCGGGUUGUAAACUGCUUUUGUACGGAACGAAAAGGCUCUGGCUAAUACCUGGGGCUCAUGACGGUACCGUAAGAAUAAGCACCGGCUAACUACGUG
rnacentral:rRNA from 1 species